rnacentral:lncRNA from 1 species
UCCUGGCUAGGGCUUCACCCUCUGGCUUGUGCCCACGAACCUAGGUGAGGACAGGCACUCCUGCCUUUGGGCCCAAAUGUUGCAUUUUCCAAAACCACCCUGGCCCACCACACCCCCAUCCUGGGCGGAUAAAAACUGAGACCCUAGCAGGCAGAUAGAUACACAAGCGUCUGGACGUCCAGAGGAGGGGAUCAGCGGAAGAAGACACAAGCAGCCGGACAUCGAGAGGAUGUCGAGGGGAGCAUGCCAGUGGAAGAGCACAUGACAGACACUGGCAGGACAGCAGGCCAUUGACUGGAGGAACGAUGUGGAGUUUAGCGAGAUCAGGAGGAGGAGAGCACGGGCCGCUAAGCAGAGGGACCCCUGGUGCAUCUCCCAUCUGGCUCCCCCAUCUGCUGAGAACUACUUCUACUCAGUAAAACCUCGGACUCAUUCUCCAAGCCCUCGCGUGAUCUGGUUCUUCCGGUACACCACGGCAGGAAACCCUGGGAUACAGAAAUCCCUCCGUCCUUGUGGAUUUUAGAAUGCCAAGCUGACAUUUUGAGUUUUUAUGAGAAACCAGAAAAUUUGGUGUGAAGACCCUAAGUGGUGUGUCUGACUUACAGCAGGCCCACAGUACCUGUUAUUGAGUGAGAUAAGCAAAUGGUAUUUCAGGACCAAAACAUCUGUUUCCUGAAGAGUUGCUCCUUUAAUUGUGUAUCUACCUACCUGUCUAUGUAACUCUUGGUAAAUGAAUUAAUUUGUUAGUUAAAAUCAAUCUAUUAAUUCAUAAUGAAUGGGAUAUCUUGUGGGAGGUACAUGUGCUUUGCAAAUACAUGGAAAGACGAGACUUUCCUAACAGGUUCUGGAAUUCAGGUUGAUAUUACCUUUUUAAAAAUUUUUAAGGAUUAAUAGCUAAAAAGAUCAAGUCAGUUUCUUCAUUUCUCCUGAAGGCCUGUUUCCAUCAGAUUUUAUCUCUGCCUAGGCAAAUACAUUGGAGACUUCUCAACUUUCUGCUUCUGAUGAUCUCAACUUGUGGUAUGGCAAAAGGAGAGCAAAAUGUUCACCCAGGAACGAGAAGUCCUGGCAGCUGAGUCAUGAUCCCCCAGGAGCCAUUAAGAAGUUAAUCUUCAGUCACUUCCAUCCAAACAGAAGAAAACCCAUGAAGGAUGAGAACUAUGGGUCCUGAGAAUGACAGGUAAUUGGUGCCACUUUAUUCACAGAAUCCAAUAAAUAGUACUCUUUGAUUCACAUAUUUAAUGCUCAUUAUUGUACAUUUUUAUAAAGACAAGUUAGUCUAAAUUGCCAUUCAUCUCUUUCUUAUCAAAGUCCUACCCAACACAUGAUCAUAUCAUCAGAAAUCAGAUAUUUUCUUGUUGAAUGCCCUACCUAACUCAUUCAAUUGUAAUUUUCUGGGAAUGGUGACCAGAGAUUUGAUAUUUUUGGAAGUUACAUCAAAUCCUCAUUACUUUAUAAGUGAUUUAAAAUUUAUCACAUGGUACACUUUUCAUAUCUUUCAAAGGAUUAAUAUAUAAAAAAUAUAUAGUUAAUGCUCAGCUUUAAAGACAUUAAAGGACAGAGUUAUACAGAAAGAAAGAUCCAGAGAUCUUUCUUUAAUAAAGAUAUUAAAAUUGAAUCUGCUUAUUCAAGUAUAAUGAUAGAACAGAAAGAGAUCUUAAAAUUGUUUAAUCUCUUCCUUGGCUUUCAAAAAUAUAAAGUCUUCUUUAUUGGAGAUUUCUUUAUCCAUAGAAUAUCUUAAUUCCCCACUCCCCAACUUCCUCCCCAUGUGAAGUUUUAUCUGUCUUUAAAAUAUUUGUGUUGUCUUCUUCAGGAUAUAUCAUUGAUUGGCACUUUUUGAUUCUAGUUUUAUAUACUGUUAUCCUUGUAUAUUAAAGUAGGUCUCAAAUAUAUCUUUCAUGGUGGUGUGUAAGGUUCUGAGAGAGCUGGAAAAAAGGUAUAAGCUCCCUUCUAAAGUGCAAGUAUAUACUUGCAGAGAUAUUUUUUCACUUACAUUCUUGGAGAUCAUCCAUGGUCUCCCCAUGUCUUUUACAAAAGAGGUUUCCAGCACCUAUUAGGGAAGCUAGAUGGUCACUUGUAUCUUCCUUAUCUCUGUAUUAGAUGAUAAUAUCGAAUGCAGGUAAGUGGUGGUGGGGAGAGUAAUAUUGACAGAAUAGUUAUAUGGCAAACAUUGGCACCUCAGAAAUUUUUUGCUUUUUUGAGGGCUCUUAUUAAUAUUUGCAAACUUUAAAAAGCCUUGAAAAGAGUUUUAUCCAGAGCUCACCACAUAUAGAAAAACAGAUCUCUCUUGUUAUGGGAAUUGAGGCUAGUCCAAAUUCCCCCAGAUUAAACAUCUUUCCUCAUUUGGCACAUUCUUCAGCUGUUCCUUAAGAAAAAAUCAUACUAAGGAAAGUUAAUUCUGGGAAGUCUAGAAUUAGAAUAAAAUUAUUACACUAAAAGGAAAGCCCAGAUAUCUCUUUAAAAAUGCUUAAUUUUUUUGAAAACUCACAUCAGCACCAGAUCAUUUCUUUAAUGUGUACAGAUUUCCUUUCUUCAUUGACUAAAUAGCUUUGCUAAACGAGAUUAAAACCACAUAACUCAAAUGAGACAUAUAAGAUCUUGAAUAAUGUUCACAUAGCUACAACAUCAAAUUCCAGUGCUAAUAUAAAUUAUGUCUACUACGUUUUCAUUUAUUUGGGAUUAUCUGUUUGCCUCAAGUGGUGUAAAAAAAUUGAGCAGGAACCACCUGAAACUUCCUUUCACAACAAGAGAAAGUUGUAAUUUGUAUUUACUUUACCUAGCUUUCUUUAUAUGAAUGUAGCCAAGAAGCAGGGGAGGAAGGACAAUUACAGGAAAUUGUGAUAGGAAACUAUUAGGAAAAGCAAUUUGUAAUUUCUGCUAAAACUCUAGGUAAAUAACCCUGAGCAUUCAUAGUCUGGCAAGU